AUUCCUGCAGGCCAUCCCACCAUCUCCUUGGAGCCCAGCAAGUGCUCGACGAAAUGCCCCACCACGACAGCAGCACAAGACAUAUCCCUGCCCAUGCCCAAGCUGCAACCUGGGCACCCACCAAGUGUUUAGGAUUAUGCUCCAAAGCUUGGUGAGAUGACAACCAUGACCUUGGACUGAAUCGCGAGCCCGAGCUCGAUGCUGAUCGUCAUGGCGAUGCCCCUUCACGACGCCAACUCGUUUCGGCAUCAACUCUCUUCCUGCCACAGCCCUCGACGUUGAACUACCGGAGAAGCAUCAGUACCAGUACCCGGAGCAGCCGCCUUCUGACC